rnacentral:rRNA from 1 species
GAUAGAUACCCUAUUAUUAAAGAGCUUGAUAUUGUUAGUAAAUAAAUUUUAAGAAAACAAAAAGUUAUGGCGGUACUUUAAACUUUUCAGAGGAAUUUGCUCUUUUAUGGAUAAAACGCCUAAAUCUUACUAAAAUUUGUAAGAUCAGUUUGUAUACCACUAUAAAAAUUAUAAUUUAUUAUUAUAAUUGUAAUUUUAUACUUAAAAAUAAAUUAAGUCAUGGUGCAGCAAAAAUUUUAGGAUGAAGUGAAUUACAUUUCUUUUUAGAAAAAAUUUUUGAAAAAUAAAUUUAGGAUUUGAAAGUAAAAAUUUAAUAAAAUGAAAUUUUGAAUAAAGUACUAAAGUAUGUACACAUCGCCCGUCG